ACAAAUAUGUCUUCCGUACCGGGUCAGAAAUGAGCGGCACAAAUAAUAAACUAUACGUACCAACUCUCUUAUCCGAGCCGACACAAAUAUGUCAUUUGUACCGGGUCAGAAAUGAGCGGCACAAAUAAUAAACUAUUCGUACCGACUCUCUUAUCCGUGCUGACCUGCCACUUGGCACCUAAAAUAACCCCAUAUUCGCAUAUGUGUUGUAUUUUGGACCAUAUUGCAAAAUCAUAG
rnacentral:lncRNA from 1 species